rnacentral:rRNA from 1 species
CAGCAGCCGCCGCGGUAAAACGGAGGGUGCAAGCGUUAAUCGGAAUUACUGGGCGUAAAGCGUGCGUAGGCGGUUCGUUAAGUCUGUUGUGAAAGCCCCGGGCUCAACCUGGGAAUGGCAAUGGAUACUGGCGAGCUAGAGUGUGUCAGAGGAUGGUGGAAUUCCCGGUGUAGCGGUGAAAUGCGUAGAGAUCGGGAGGAACAUCAGUGGCGAAGGCGGCCAUCUGGGACAACGCUGACGCUGAGGCACGAAAGCGUGGGGAGCAAACAGGAUUAGAUACCCCCGUAGUCCCUGUCUCUUAUAA